GAUGAACGCUGGCGGCGUGCCUAAUACAUGCAAGUCGAGCGAACAGACGAGGAGCUUGCUCCUCUGGCGUUAGCGGCGGACGGGUGAGUAACACGUGGAUAACCUACCUAUAAGACUGGGAUAACUUCGGGAAACCGGAGCUAAUACCGGAUAAUAUAUUGAACCGCAUGGUUCAAUAGUGAAAGACGGUUUUGCUGUCACUUAUAGAUGGAUCCGCGCCGCAUUAGCUAGUUGGUAAGGUAACGGCUUACCAAGGCGACGAUGCGUAGCCGACCUGAGAGGGUGAUCGGCCACACUGGAACUGAGACACGGUCCAGACUCCUACGGGAGGCAGCAGUAGGGAAUCUUCCGCAAAGGGCGAAAGCCUGGCGGAGCAACGCCGCGUGAGUGAUGAAGGUCUUCGGAUCGUAAAACUCUGUUAUUAGGGAAGAACAAAUGUGUAAGUAACUAUGCACGUCUUGACGGUACCUAAUCAGAAAGCCACGGCUAACUACGUG
rnacentral:rRNA from 1 species